rnacentral:rRNA from 1 species
AGCGAACGCUGGCGGCAGGCCUAACACAUGCAAGUCGAACGAACCCUUCGGGGUUAGUGGCGGACGGGUGAGUAACACGUGGGAACGUGCCUUUAGGUUCGGAAUAACUCUGGGAAACUUGUGCUAAUACCGAAUGUGCCCUUCGGGGGACAGAUUUAUCGCCUUUAGAGCGGCCCGCGUCUGAUUAGCUAGUUGGUGAGGUAAUGGCUCACCAAGGCUACGCUCAGUAGCUGGUCUGAGAGGAUGACCAGCCACAUUGGGACUUAGACACGGCCCAAACUCCUACGGGAGGCAGCAGUGGGGAAUCUUGCGCAAUGGGCGAAAGCCUGACGCAGCCAUGCCGCGUGGAUGAUGAAGGUCUUAGGAUUGUAAAAUCCUUUCACCGGUGAAGAUAAUGACUGUAGCCGGAGAAGAAGCCCCGGCUAACUUCGUGCCAGCAGCCGCGGUAACAC